AUUGAACGCUGGCGGCAGGCCUAACACAUGCAAGUCGAACGGGUGGCGGACGGGUGAGUAAUGUCUGGGAAACUGCGCGAUGGAGGGGGAUAACUACUGGAAACGGUAGCUACUACCGCAUACCAUCGGAUGUGCCCAGAUGGGAUUAGCUAGUAGGUGGGGUAACGGCUCACCUAGGCGACGAUCCCUAGCUGGUCUGCGAGGAUGACCGGCCACACUGGAACUGAGAAACGGUCCAGACUCCUACGGGAGGCAGCAGUGGGGAAUAUUGCACAAUGGGCGCAAGCCUGAUGCAGCCAUGCCGCGUGUAUGAAGAAGGCCUUCGGUUUGUAAAGUACUUUCGGCGGGGAGGCGUUACUCGCAGAAGAAGCACCGGCUAACUCCGUGCCAGCAGCCGCGGUAAUAC
rnacentral:rRNA from 1 species